rnacentral:rRNA from 1 species
CUUGAACGCUGGCGGCAGGCCUAACACAUGCAAGUCGAACGAGUGGCGGACGGGUGAGUAAUGUCUGGGAAACUGCCUGAUGGAGGGGGAUAACUACUGGAAACGGUAGCUAAUACCGCAUACCAUCGGAUGUGCCCAGAGGGGAGUAGCUAGGAGGUGGGGGAAGGGCUCACGGAGGCGACGAGCCCUAGCUGGUCUGAGAGGAUGACCAUCCACACUGGAACUGGGACAAGGUCCAGAUUCCUCCGGGAGGCAGAAGGGGGGAAGAUUGACAAAUGGGAGCACGCCUGAUGCAGCCAUGCCGCGUGUAUGAAGAAGGCCUUCGGGUUGUAAAGUACUUUCAGCGGGGAGGCGUUACCCGCAGAAGAAGCACCGGCUAACUCCGUGCCAGCCGCCGCGGUAAUUC